CCUACGGGUGGCAGCAGUGAGGAAUAUUGGUCAAUGGGCGGAAGCCUGAACCAGCCAAGUAGCGUGCAGGAUGGCGGCCCUACGGGUUGUAAACUGCUUUUAUACGGGCAUAACUCGCCUUACGUGUAGGGCUUUGCAUGUACCGUAUGAAUGAGGACAGGCUAAUUCCGUGCCAGCAGCCGCGGUAAUACGGAAGGUCCGGGCGUUAUCCGGAUUUAUGGGGUUUAAAGGGAGCGUAGGCCGCAUGUCAAGCGUGCUGUGAAAUGUCCGGGCUCAACCCGCGACUUGCAGCGCGAACUGGCGUGCUUGAGUCCGCGGAAAGCAGGCGGAAUUCGUAGUGUAGCGGUGAAAUGCUUAGAUAUGACGAAGAACCCCGAUUGCGAAGGCAGCUUGCUGCAGCGGAACUGACGCUGAGGCUCGAAAGCGCGGGUAUCGAACAGGAUUAGAUACCCGAGUAGUC
rnacentral:rRNA from 1 species